UAUCGGACCCUGUGUGACGGAAAACCGUGAACCAUGUCAGGCGGGGAACCGAGCAGCAUUAAGCGGCUAUUUUUCGGGUGCGUAGUCAGUCCGAUAUUC
rnacentral:SRP_RNA from 1 species